AGUGAACGCUGGCGGUAGGCCUAACACAUGCAAGUCGAACGGCAGCACAGUAAGAGCUUGCUCUUACGGGUGGCGAGUGGCGGACGGGUGAGGAAUACAUCGGAAUCUACUUUUUCGUGGGGGAUAACGUAGGGAAACUUACGCUAAUACCGCAUACGACCUACGGGUGAAAGCAGGGGAUCUUCGGACCUUGCGCGAUUGAAUGAGCCGAUGUCGGAUUAGCUAGUUGGCGGGGUAAAGGCCCACCAAGGCGACGAUCCGUAGCUGGUCUGAGAGGAUGAUCAGCCACACUGGAACUGAGACACGGUCCAGACUCCUACGGGAGGCAGCAGUGGGGAAUAUUGGCCAAUGGGCGCAAGCCUGUUCCAGCCAUACCGCGUGGGUGAAGAAGGCCUUCGGGUUGUAAAGCCCUUUUGUUGGGAAAGAAAAGCAGCAGGUUAAUACCCCGCUGUUCUGACGGUACCCAAAGAAUAAGCACCGGCUAACUUCGUG
rnacentral:rRNA from 1 species